rnacentral:lncRNA from 1 species
GUAAGACUUGCCUUGCUUCCCCUUUACCUUCUGCCAUGAUUAGGAAGCCAGCUGCCAUGUCAUGAGGACACUCCAGUGGCCCUAUGGAGGGGUCCUGCAAGUAAGGACCAGAGGCCUCCCUGUCAACCUGCCAGCAGGUGUGAGCCAUCUUGGAAGCAGAUUCUCCAGCCCAGAUCUUCAGAUGACCACAGGCCCAGGUGACCUCCUGACUGCAACCCCAAGCCACAACCAUGCAAUGAGCCACUCCCUCUUUCCUGCCUACCAUAAACUGUGUGAGAGAAUAAACUGGCACAGCAUUCAAGACACCAUCUUAGAA